rnacentral:snRNA from 1 species
GAAUGUGAAGGUGACUUGUGACGUGUCACCCAUGGGUCGCCAGGGGGGAUUUGGCUGAUGGAGUGAACUAGAUCAGUGUUUCCUUCCUCCCUCAAGUCUCCAUCUCUGUCCCUCUAGAAGUUUGGUGGGUCAAAAAAAAAAAAAAAAAAAAUGACCUCUGCCAGUAGAGGUCAAGGGUUAUGAGCAGGUAAACUUCCCUUCCAGAAUCUACAAACAAGCUUAGACAGGUCUUCCCCGGAUCAGGGAAGUAUACCCCAGCCUUUCUUCAUGGUUUGGGAAUGGUU